CUAUUAUUCUUAAAAAUAUAUUUAAUUUCUGAAUAUUAUUAGUUUUACUUUUAAACUCAAAGAAUUUGGCGGUUAAUUAUUUCUUUUUAGGGGAACAUGUGAUUUAAUCGAUAAUCCACGAUAUUUUCUACUUUUUAAUAUUUGUUUGUAUAUCUCUAUUGAUUAGAGGGUGUUUAAUAAAAAAAUUCUCUUUUUCUUUUUCAAGGUGAAUUUUAGGUCAAGGUGCAGUUUUAAAAUGUAUUUAUGUGUUACUUUAAUUUUAUAAUAGAUUGGAUUUUUAACUAAUUUUAGUUUUUUUGAAAUAGGAUUUAAUAGUAAUAAAUUUAAAUUAAAUUUUAUGAAUAAUGUUUUGAUUAAUGUACACAUC
rnacentral:rRNA from 1 species